rnacentral:rRNA from 1 species
UACAGAGGGUGCGAGCGUUAAUCGGAGUUACUGGGCGUAAAGGGCGCGUAGGCGGCGCUGCAAGUGGGACGUGAAAUCCCCGGGCUUAACCUGGGAACUGCGUCCCAUACUGCAGUGCUAGAGUACUGUAGAGGGCGGUGGAACUUCCGGUGUAGCGGUGAAAUGCGUAGAGAUCGGAAGGAACACCAGUGGCGAAGGCGGCCGCCUGGACAGAUACUGACGCUGAGGCGCGAGAGCGUGGGGAGCAAACAGG